rnacentral:misc_RNA from 1 species
AUUGACAAGACCCACAAGGCAGCUAUAACCUGAUUAAAAAAUUAAAAGAAAAUCAACUUUAGAAAAUGGAUUAUAAAUAUGAGCGAUGUCCUAUCUGAAUAAGUAAAGUAAACAAGGUCACGAGCAUGUCAAAGAGUGAAAGAAAGAACAUACACAAAUCUGACGGCACCAAAACUAAAAUAGCAUAUAACUAUAAAUGAUCUGCUCCAAUUCCAACAGAGCCAUUAGAAAUAUAAAUAACAGGAUAAAUACUGAGACAUACAACGAGAAACUUCUUCAAAUCUUUUCC